rnacentral:rRNA from 1 species
UACGGAGGGGACUAGCGUUGUUCGGAAUUACUGGGCGUAAAGCGCACGUAGGCGGACUCUUAAGUCGGUGGUGAAAUCCUGGAGCUCAACUCCAGAACUGCCUUCGAUACUGAGAGUCUCGAGUCCGGGAGAGGUGAGUGGAACUGCGAGUGUAGAGGUGAAAUUCGUAGAUAUUCGCAAGAACACCAGUGGCGAAGGCGGCUCACUGGCCCGGUACUGACGCUGAGGUGCGAAAGCGUGGGGAGCAAACAGG